rnacentral:rRNA from 1 species
GACAGAGGUCCCGAGCGUUAGGCGGAAUCACUGGGCUUAAAGCGUGUGUAGGCGGAUUGACAAGUACCUUGUGAAAUCCCACGGCUCAACUGUGGAACUGCUGGGUAUACUGUCGAUCUUGAGACAUCUAGGGGCAACUGGAACAAACGGUGGAGCGGUGAAAUGCGUAGAUAUCGUUUGGAACGCCUAUGGUGAAAACAGGUUGCUGGGGAUGUACUGACGCUGAGACACGAAAGCCAGGGGAGCAAACGGG